rnacentral:rRNA from 1 species
AUGUACUCGUCCGGGUCCGUGGUGCGUAUGAAGGACGGGAAGUCCCCGAGCCUCAUGCUCCUCAGCCCCGGCACGUCCUCCACCGGCGUGUCAAGGUAUCCGUUCGUCAGCUGCUCGGCGUCUGCAUGCAUGCGUAAAGACAUACAUAUUCAGAUAAGUGCUUCGAUCAGCAGCUGUCAAUGGCCGCACCGAGCAGAAAUGGCUGACGCGCGCACUGACGGGAAACAAAACAAAAAGCAGUACGUACGUACCUUUGAGUGGGGCGAGGCCACGGCCGAUGAGGAGGCGGUAGUGGCGGUACCCGAGGUAGCUGAUGGCGCUGGCGGUCCAGAGCUGGACGUAGGGGAGGCCGAGCUCGUUGGCGGCCUCCAUGGAGAACCCCAUGACGACGUCAGAGACGACGCGGGUGACGGGCGGGUUACCCGUGGCAGGGUCGUUGAGCCGGGUGAGGAGGUCGCGGAACGGCCCGAGGCAGGUCUCGGUGGUGGACUUGCAGAGCGCGGGGAUGUCUUGCGUGACGUCGUCGUCGCCGGAUGGCGGCAGGCCGUCCGGGAUGGUGGCGAAGCGGAAGCCCGGGAGGCCGGCCACGGCGGCGGCGCCGCGGGAGCGGACGAGGCGGGCGUGGUUGUACUCGGUGUUGACGAAGGUGACGUCGAAGCCCCGGGCGUGGAGCAGCUUGGCCACGUUGAGCAUCGGGGUGAUGUGGUGUGCCCCUGCGCUGGGUAUGGCAGGCACACCGCGUGCGGCUUCCCGGCGGCAGGUCCCAUCGAGCCCAUCUCCUCCGCAGACGACUCCUCACUCUCCGUAUGUGCGCUUCGAGCUGACCAAGAUCGGUCGAUGGCAACCAUGGCUUCCUCCUGGCUGAACUCUCCAUGGCUGCUUCGAGCCUUGGAGGAUGGAGACUUGAUGGUCCUACUCCCUCUUCCACGGAAAGCAGCCGGGCCGGGUGUGUGA